CGUUAUCAUCUAUUUGUUUUGUUAAAAAUUAGUAUAACUGACAGAAUAAUCAGAAAAUGAUAUGUGGUGUGUCAUGUGUACCUCGUGAUAAUGUAUAGGGAUCAGUUUUUAACAAUAGAAAUGGAUGAAAUUUUUAACU
rfam:Gossypium arboreum cultivar AKA8401 contig_1454_7, whole genome shotgun sequence.